UUUUCUGAAUCUCGCAAUUUUGGUGAUGUACCCUGCAACAGCAUGUUUGUCGCUGUUUUUACUUCUGUUUAGAAGGUCAUUCAACUAAGAGAUAGAUAGAGUUUUAUUUCUCAUGGAGUUUCAGAGACGUGAAAAGUGUGAAGUGACCUGCCAUGUUUGUACCAGAUCUGCUUGAUGAAAGUCAAAUGGCUUCAUAAAUUCAUAUCCCAUAUGAUAAAGCAUCAGGAAAUUUAUCUCAACAUGUGAGUGCUGAACAUGGGUUGCCGUGAAUUCUAUUUUUACAGUUUUUUCAUCAUGAAUGUUUCAGUGUGCUUCUUA